UCUGUCCCCACGGAAGUGGGCUCUUCUGGUUGCAACAUGGUGGAGGCCAGCCCGGCCGCAGGUGAGGGAAGAUGCCACAGCAAACCUCUGAGCAACCAAGAUGACAAGCACCUGCUUGGAAAAGGUGACAAGCCACAAGGCCAUAGGCCCAGUUAUAAGGAUGAAUUGUGUUACACGAAUGGUUAUAAACCUGACCGACCUCAGAAGGUAUAUGGAGGAGGCAAUUAUCAAGCCCCUUGAUGGUCUGUGGCUGGAUGCACCAUACUUUGCCAACGGUGUGAGCAUGGCAGAGAAUGUAGGUGUGUAUAUAGGGGAAAACCUCCAGAAAGUUUUUUCUGUGGGAGUUCUUUGUAAAAUAAUAACAAUGCAACUGGAAUUAUAUUGCAAUCUAUAAAGGGAAAUC
rnacentral:lncRNA from 1 species